rnacentral:rRNA from 1 species
AUUGAACGCUGGCGGCAGGCCUAACACAUGCAAGUCGAACGAGGGGCGGAAGGGUGAGUAAUGUCUGGGAAACUGCCUGCUGGCGGGGGAUAAAUACUGGAAACGGAAGCUAAUACCGCAUAACAUCAGAUGUGACCAGAUGGGAUUAGCUAGUGGGGGGGGUAACGGCUCACCAAGGCGACGAUCCCUAGCUGGUCUGAGCGGAGGACCAGCCACACGGGAACUGAGACACGGUCCAGACUCCUACGGGAGGAAGCAGUGGGGAAUAUUGCACAAUGGGCGCAAGCCUGAUGCAGCCAUGCCGCGUGUAUGAAGAAGGCCGUCGGGUUGUAAAGUACUUUCAGCGGGGAGGCGUUACCCGCAGAAGAAGCACCGGCUAACUCCGUGCCAGCAGCCGCGGUAAUAC